AUUGAACGCUGACGGCAGGACUAACACAUUCAAGUCGAACGAGUGGCGGACGGGUGAGUGAUGUCUGGGAAACUGCCUGAUGGAGGGGGAUAACUACUGGAAACGGUAGCUAAUACCGCAUACCAUCGGAUGUGCCCAGAUGGGAUUAGCUAGUAUGUGGGGUAAAGGCUCACCUAGGCGACGAUGCCUAUCUGGUCUGAGAGGAUGACAAGCCACAUUGGAACUGGGACACGGUACAGACUCCCACGGGAGGCAGCAGGGGGGAAGAUUGCACCCUGGGUGCUAGCCUGAUUAAGCCAUGCCUUGUCUAUGAAGAAGGCCUUCGGGUUUUAAAGUAUUUUGAUCGCGGAGGCGUGUCCGGCAGAAGAAGCUCCGGCUAACUCUGUGGCAGCAGCCGCGGUAAUAC
rnacentral:rRNA from 1 species